CCCACAUCCCCAUGUGCUAUGGAGCCAGCUGCUCCCGGAAUAGUUUGGGAAUGAAAUGUCACCAUUUGAAACUGGAGGAUCUCAAAAUCUUCUGCAGACUUGAAUUUUCUUCCCCACCAUGCCCACUGCAGCUGGAUGCUGGUGCCUCCUCCAGCAGCACUGGGUUUGAUUUUGCACUGCAGAGCUCCACAGAGUCCAACCAGCAACGCUGCAGGAGCUGAAGGUUGCAGCAGCAACGCAGGAGUGAGCCAAGGAGCCAGGUCAGAAAAGGGAACCCCCCUGGGUACCUGCUGCACCCUCAGGUGUGAACUUGGAGUUAUUUCAAACCAGUAACCCCUAAGAGAUGGGAAUGUCAGUGGAUCAUCAAUUCUGAGAUAUAAUGACAGCAUUUUAGUGCAUGAUACUGUCUUCCCUCUGUUUGUUCUAGCAUAGGUGUCUGCCUGCUAGGUUUAGCUCUCCAGAUUCCUGAUGGGGAUUCCCUUUAGCCUGCAGAUUCCUGCAAUUAAUUCCCAUGAUAAUGUUGGGAAUGAUCAGUGUAAAUACUCCCUAUGGAAAAGCAGCGUGUUUCUCAGAAUGAGGUUAUUGUCCUUUCAAAUAGAUUAACAAAAGACAAAUUUACUGAGUAUACAACUCACUGAAGUACUGUGUCUUUCAGAGAUAUGUGAUGAUUUCUUUAGAACUUGAUGGAUUUUUGCCCAAAUCAAAGGAUUUUGUCUCAUCAGCUACAGUGGGGUUUCCCAGAGGCCCUGAAACAACACAUCCUCAGCCACUUGGACCUUGGCUAAACUGACACAUAAUGUGUGGAAGUCUUCUCAACAGGAACAAGCAACACUGGAAGGCCAAAAUUACCGCUGAUCUGGUUUGGGGGCAAAAAAAAAAAAAAAAAAGAAAAAGACAACUGAAAUGACAUUGGACAUUCAUUAGCAAAGCAUUGUCAGAACACAAUAGAAGAACAGACAAAAGCCAGUCCAGAUUCUGUGGUAUUUCCUAAAGGGCUCCCUCUGGCACACAGCUAUUCCCUGCCAAUCCUUCUGUAUUGUUUUUGAUAAUGAAUAGAAGCUGAACAGAUGAUUGUUGUAUUGUCCACUAAGUGAUUCAUUUACAUUAAAUAGUGCUCCAAAAGUAGGCUUUGGGUGGACUUUUUUAGUCACUUCAGUUAUUUAUUUAUACAGUUUAAUUACUGUCUUUU
rnacentral:lncRNA from 1 species